GACGAGCGCUGGCGGCGUGCUUAACACAUGCAAGUCGAACGGAAAGGCCCUGCUUUUGUGGGGUGCUCGAGUGGCGAACGGGUGAGUAACACGUGAGUAACCUGCCCUUGACUUUGGGAUAACUUCAGGAAACUGGGGCUAAUACCGGAUAGGAGCUCCUGCUGCAUGGUGGGGGUUGGAAAGUUUCGGCGGUUGGGGAUGGACUCGCGGCUUAUCAGCUUGUUGGUGGGGUAGUGGCUUACCAAGGCUUUGACGGGUAGCCGGCCUGAGAGGGUGACCGGCCACAUUGGGACUGAGAUACGGCCCAGACUCCUACGGGAGGCAGCAGUGGGGAAUAUUGCACAAUGGGCGGAAGCCUGAUGCAGCAACGCCGCGUGCGGGAUGACGGCCUUCGGGUUGUAAACCGCUUUCGCCUGUGACGAAGCGUGAGUGACGGUAAUGGGUAAAGAAGCACCGGCUAACUACGUA
rnacentral:rRNA from 1 species